rnacentral:piRNA from 1 species
UCAAGUCUGUACUGAAAACAAAGGCGCC